CUUUCUCUCGGACGUUGCCAGUGGAUAACAGUCUUCAGUACCUGCUGGUCUUUAAAGGAUUCUGGAUUCCUGGACUGUUGGAAAAGAUCAUGGCUCAGCAGUGGACUGUUGGAGAAGUAUCUCUUUGGCUUGGGGAAAAUGAAUUGGCAGAUUAUCAACAGGUCUUUGUAGACAAUGAAAUCGAUGGAUCGACACUUCUGCAGAUGACUGAAAGAAUGAGUGAGCGUCUUUUUCCAAAAGUGAAAGACCAAGUGAAAUUUUUGUCUGCUGUAGAGAAGCUGAAAGAUGGAAGGCAACACAAAGAAAAG